UUACCAUCCUGUCUCAUGUGCAUCUCAUUUCUGUUAGGGAUUGAUACUUUGAUGUUAGAUAUCGGCUGAGCCGUUCGUCAAGGAGUGAGAUCUCGUCCGGGUAAUUGUUCUUGAGUGUGGUACAUGGUUGUACAAAAGUUAUCCUGUUACUUUUUGGUCUCUUUGUGAUUAGCCUAUUGGAUUUACAUUGAUGGAUCUUGAAGGGAUCAUGUGCAUAUGUUAGUAAAAAAACAUUUUCAGUGAUAUGUUCUGACCAUUGCAUGUUUUUCUGGAUAUAAACACUUAGCUUCAACAACAGAAUUGUUUUUCUGGAUAUACACCUAGCUUCAGCAAUCGAAUUGUCGACAGUAAUUAUAUUUAAUAAAAUAGACAGAGCCAAAUAAUAUGUUUUUAUUCUGAAAUACUGAUUUGUAUUUCAAACAGAUAACUAACUACUUAUUUGUUAUCGCAUUUUAAUCUCUUCUGGUUAUAGGCUGAAGAAUCAGACACUUCUGGUUUCCGUACUCUGUUCGAAAUGUAAUAUUUAUCUUAGUUCUUUUUUCAUUGAAUGUUUGAGUUUCAACACUAGCUUGGUUUUUAAUAUGUGUCGCACACCUAUAUAUAUAGGAUGAACUUGGAAGCUGUUUGUGUUGAGGUUGAUCAAGUAGGAGCCAUCAAGGUUUAUCUUUCCCUAUGCACGUCCAAAUCUGUCCCCAACUCUCCCUCUAGUGUUAGAUAUUUAAAUCUUCUUUGAUCAAUACUCCUUAGAGGAAUCUACCUAGACUGAAUCAACUCGCAUACAGAAAUUUGACUAGACCAGGCUGCCCUCUUCGGUCUCAUUCUGCUACAAUUUGGUCUGCGUUGUUCGUACUGCUGCAGCUACAAUUUGGAGAAGUCAAGAAUGUCCAUGGCUGGGGAUAGACUAGAGUCUAUGCAACCAGCUAUUGAUUAGCUUUUGGUACUUGAGCCUCUACCUCCCGACACCAACGGCGCUGAAGUCCUCGUGCUGAGUUGGCAUCGCUCAAGAAAGUCUGAAGAAGCUGAGGCUGCCCAGGCUGCGCGAGACAGAGAGUAUGAGCUCAGGUUCACUUGUUUGGCGAUGAUGAUGGGAGGAGGUACUACACCUGGGAACUAGUGGGGUGGAUGCUAGUGGGUGAGAUCCUUUCUUUUGGCCAAGCUUUCUUGCAUCUAGGAACUCGUGGAUGGCUGGGAGGCAUUUUGUGAUUUUCGUGCUUGCUCCAUUAUGAUAAUUGUGGAGCUCUGCUAUGUGUUGUUACAUGUGGAGGUUUUUGGUUUAACCUAUGAACAAGUGGAGAUUAUGUGAACA